rnacentral:snRNA from 1 species
GUGCUCACUUUGGCAGCACAUAUAACUAAAAUUGGAACAAUAUAGAGAAGAUUAGCAUGGGCCCUACA